GACGAACGCUGGCGGCGUGCUUAACACAUGCAAGUCGAACGGUAAGGCCCUUCGGGGUACACGAGUGGCGAACGGGUGAGUAACACGUGGGUGAUCUGCCCUGCACUUCGGGAUAAGCAUGGGCAACUGGGGCUAAUACCGGAUAGGACCACUGCCUGCAUGGGUGGUGGUGCAAAGCUUUUGCGGUGUGGGAUGGGCCCGCGGCCUAUCAGCUUGUUGGUGGGGUGAUGGCCUACCAAGGCGUCGACGGGUAGCCGGCCUGAGGGGGUGACCGGCCACACUGGGACUGAGAUACGGCCCAGACUCCUACGGGAGGCAGCAGUGGGGAAUAUUGCACAAUGGGCGCAAGCCUGAUGCAGCGACGCCGGGUGAGGGAUGACGGCCUUCGGGUUGUAAACCUCUUUCAGCACCGACGAAGCGCAAGUGACGGUAGGUGCAGAAGAAGGACCGGCCAACUACGUGCCAGCAGCCGCCGUAA
rnacentral:rRNA from 1 species